GUACACAUUCACGCCCCGGGGGCGCGGCCGCCACGUGGGGAGUGGCGCGGGGGUGGCACUGGGACCGCACCCCCUCUGGUCCUAGCUGCGUGGGCCCCGCUUUCCCCCAGUGCUGGAGACUCGGAGCCCGACCGGCCCCAUAUUCCACGCAAGCUGAAUUCCUGUCCGCAUCCCACCCGGGCGGCGGGGACUGCGGGCUCCGGGAGGCGCUCGGGCUCCAAGAAGCGACUCAGCCCCUCACUUCCUCCCUCCUCAGUGCGGCUGCCUGCGGGCUAGGAUUCCCGCGGGUCUCCGCGGCGGCGAGCGCGAGGCGGCGCGGGUUCCGGCUCUGUUCCCGCGCGGCUGCUCACCUCUGUCGCCUCGCCUCCCGCGGCUUCCAGUUUUCACCGAGCGCUCCUCCGAAUGCCUGCCUGGCCUGUCUCGUUUUCCCUCUUCUCUCUCUAGACUCAUCGCGGACCUCUGCGGCCCUGACAGAGAGCGCAGAGUCGGAUGGCCUGAGCUUCAUGCCCUGCGCGGGCACCCCUUCCUGCUCCCGGACGCCGAAGCCAGAUGGGAAGAUUUAGAUGCAGGGAAGGAGAGAACUUACCAUUUAUUGAAUGUCUAUUACCUGCGAGAAGGUUCACAUCCAUUCUUUUGUGGAUUCUCACCAUUUCCUCCGGACUCUGACUUUGCACAUGAAGAAUCCCAGGUGGAGAGAGGUGAAGUGAUUUACCUAAGGUCACACAGUAGGUGGGUGGACCUGGGCUGGGAUGCACACCUGCCUGUGGCCCAGGCUUGGGUUUUUUCCCUCUGAUCUCCCAAACUCCAGGACCAGGCCUCCUGCAUCCCAACCCAGAAGAUUUUCCUACAGGGGUGGAAGCUUCUGCAGGUGGUGGGCGGCGGCAGCAAAAUGGAGGGAGAGCCCCAGCGUCUGCUCCUGGUGUUGCCCCCCACAAAGCCAGGGGAGGAGGGGCGCCCCCAGCGCCGGCUCUUCUCCCCGGGGCUGAGCGCCUCCCCCGGCUGAUCUGGGCCGGCCUUCAUGUAUUAUUGAUGGCGCUGCCAGCCUUCCUGUUUUCACGCUGAUAACCUGCUGGGGAGGGCGGCGGAGGCGGAGGGAGCAAGGUGCGAACCCCCAGCUUCCAGGGCCCCUCCUCCGUGGAGGCGCUGCGCUGCGGGGGCUGGCGCAGGCCCAAGCCUCUGAAGUUGGCUUCUAGAGCUUCUCCAGCCCGUCCUCCCUCGUCCUCUGGUGGGACCAGCCCUGCAGAGGGAGUCCCUGCGGGAGGCUGGACCACGGGGUCCCGAGGGGCCCCAUCCUCCACGGAGAGCUCAAACCCCAGUGGUUCUUGCCCAGAGGCCGAUGGGGCCACAUGGGGGGGGGCGGUGGGACUCAGGGCUGGUGUCCUGUGUUGGGUGUGUGUGUCCAGGAAGCGCCAAGCGAGCCUCCCUUCCCAGCCUCCUGCUCCGUGAUGUCGCAAUGGUGGUCUGCAGUUGGCCCAGAAUCCGCAGGUGCCGCCCUUCAGGGAGCCCCGCCCCCAGAGCCGGUUGUUGCCUUCACUAGCACAGCCCUGGGGACCCCAGGCCUGGGCUCUUCCAGCCGCCCGCCCCGCUGCCUCAGGUUCCCCCCUCUUCCCUUUGCCCAGCUUUCAACCACGAUGAUACAAGCGGUGGUCACUACGGCUCCCAUUUAUCGUACUCUUAUCGGUUAUGCGCUGGGUCCAUUGGAAGAGGUUUACAGGAUUCGUUCCAUCUCCAUGGCCAUCCGGAGAGCGGGCGCUGUAUCCCAGAAAGCUUUACUGAUGAGCCGAGAGGCACAGAGAGGGUAAGGGACAUCUGAGGCCACACAGCGGAUUGAUGGCACAGCCAGGACCCACCCUAGAUCUAAGUCACCCCUGGUUCUGGGCAGGGUCUCUUGGGAAGUGCCUCCUGGAUUCCUUCUGACUGUCCCCGGGCUCCCUGGCAGGGAUUCUCCAUCAUCUCCCAGGGCUGUGCCUUGAGCCCACGGACCUGCCCUGCCUGUCCUGCCGCCGGCUGAGAGCUACAAGAGCCCGGUUCCGGGUCUGAUUUAUUUUAUGUCACUCUACCUGGCCCAGGAGCAAGCACAGAGUCAGCUGGGGGACCUUUGGCAGAGUCCCCGGCACCUUGCAGGUCCUUGCAUGUCCCACGCUCAGCCAGGGCUGCUGGGCUUGUUAGGGACCUGGCUGCGUCUCUUUGUGCUGAUGGCCCUCCACCUGCCAGGCCUGGUUCCAGGAGCCUGGAGUGGUAGCGGCAACCCGGCCAACAGACAUCUUUGUUCCCUUGGAUGAAGCUUGGGUUCUAGUCGGGGAGGCACCCAACAAACAGGGUCAAGAAGGAAGAUGUAAAGAUUUUAGGGACAUGUGCUCAGGAGGAAAGGAAAGCGGCAGGAGGAGGGAUAAGCAAGCUUGGGUUGGUCAGGAGCCCAUCAGACUGGAAAGGUGACAGUGAAGCAAGCAAGGGAGCAAGCUGCGUUGUUUGCUGGGGAAGAAACACAGGCAGUGCAAAGGUCCUGGGGCAUGACCUUACUAGGUAUGUUUGAGCAACAACUAGGGAGCUACUGUGCCAUGGAAUGGAGUGAACGGAGGGAAAAAUAGGUCAAAAAGUGGGAGUCAAGCAAAGCAGUGAGGAGAGAAGGGGCUGAAGGGAAGGAUGCUGUGAAUGGGCUGCUCCUGAUGUUCCUGCCCUCCACAUUCCCCUUCUUGUCCCCAAGGUUCUGCCUCUGGGCAUAACCCGGCCACAGGAACCGAGGAGAGGUCAGGGUCUGGAGAAGCUGGCAGCACAGGGACAAAGUGGUAGAGGAGGGACAAGCCAAGGUGGGGAGGCUGUGAGUUGAGAAGGCAGGGACCGUGUGGGGUCUCCUCCGGAGCAGGCGCCGGGGCUGCUGGGGGAGGUGGUGCCGGGGCAGGUGAUGUGUGGGCCGGGAGCGCGUGGACUGGAUUUAUUUGUGCAAUGCCACACCCCACCCCGAGCCCUAAGUACUCAAUAUCAUAAAUAAAACUCACCUAAUAAAUCUCCCCUGUA